UAUUAUAUUUACGUAUAUAUAUAUAUAUAUAUACGUAUGGCAGUUAGGACUCGUGAGAACUUUAGAUUAACCUUUCUUUUGGAAUAUAACACUAAAGCUAAUAUUCAUUACGUUAUAUUCUUAAUUUAAAAGACAUAACAUACUAGUCAUAAUGGACGUUCUUAAUAAAAAUAAAUACUAAUAAUAAUAUUGUAGAUUACAGUUUGUGUUACAUACCAUGUUUAUCAUAUGGGGUCCGACAAACCUCACGUGACCGACCAUGCGAUUCUAAGGCACGUGAUCAGUCAAAGAUUGAGGCUGGUAUUUGAAUACAGAAAGUAACGCAGCCAUUAACGUUGGUUUAGCUCUUCAGGUCGGCUUUUUUUUAAAGUUCCGUUCGAUUUUUUUUCGGAUAAUAAUCACAAGAAUGAACAUUUUGCAAGAGGCCCUGGUCUUAGUGUUCUCUUUAACAUAGCUGCGAAACUUGACAGCUGAGCAGUGUAAGAACGUCAUGCAAGAUGGUUUACUUCUUCGAAUGUCAUUAUCUUCUUCUCCAUGACUUGUACGAGGGAAGCUACUGCCCCAUGUAUCGUCCGAUUUGAGAAACCCUGUACACCGUGCUGCUUAGGCUAACCUACCUUCAUGCAUGUCUACGAUUAAUAUUACUCGAAAUUCAAAUGCUAUUGCAUAGAUUUAUUCGAAAUAAUGUCACCUUCGACAAUUAUCUGGGAAGAAAUCUUAACGCCAAUAAUAAUGAGCGAUUAUAUUUUAAAGUGACAACAAAUACGGAAAAAAAAGAAAAUCAUGGCUA